rnacentral:rRNA from 1 species
CCUACGGGGUGCUGCAGUGGGGAAUAUUGGACAAUGGGCGAAAGCCUGAUCCAGCCAUGCCGCGUGUGUGAAGAAGGCCUUCGGGUUGUAAAGCACUUUCAGUGGGGAAGAAAGCCUUGGGGCUAAUACCCUCGAGGAAGGACAUCACCCACAGAAGAAGCACCGGCUAACUCCGUGCCAGCAGCCGCGGUAAUACGGAGGGUGCGAGCGUUAAUCGGAAUUACUGGGCGUAAAGCGCGCGUAGGCGGUCUGAUAAGCCGGUUGUGAAAGCCCCGGGCUCAACCUGGGAACGGCAUCCGGAACUGUCAGGCUAGAGUGCAGGAGAGGAAGGUAGAAUUCCCGGUGUAGCGGUGAAAUGCGUAGAGAUCGGGAGGAAUACCAGUGGCGAAGGCGGUCUUCUGGACUGACACUGACGCUGAGGUGCGAAAGCGUGGGUAGCAAACAGGAUUAGAUACCCCUGUAGUC